CCUACGGGGGGCAGCAGUGAGGAAUAUUGGUCAAUGGACGAGAGUCCGAACCAGCCAAGUCGCGUGAAGGAUGACUGCCCUAUGGGUUGUAAACUUCUUUUAUAUGGGAAUAAAAUGUUCCCCGUGUGGUAUUUUAUAUGUACCAUAUGAAUAAGGAUCGGCCAACUCCGUUCCAGCAGCCGCGGGUAUACGGAGGAUCCGAGCGUUAUCCGGAUUUCAUGGGUUUAAGGGGAGCGUCGGGGGAUUUUUAAGUCAGUUGUGAAAGUCUGCGGCUCAACCGUAAAAUUGCAGUUGAAACUGGCAGUCUUGAGUAUAGUAGAGGUGGGCGGAAUGCGUGGUGUAGCGGUGAAAUGCUUAGAUAUCACGAAGAACUCCGAUUGCGAAGGCAGCUCACUGGACUGCAGCUGACACUGAGGCUCGAAAGUGUGGGUAUCAAACAGGAUUAGAUACCCUGGUAGUC
rnacentral:rRNA from 1 species